rnacentral:rRNA from 1 species
GAUGAACGCUGGCGGCGUGCCUAAUACAUGCAAGUCGAGCGAACGGACGAGAAGCUUGCUUCUCUGAUGUUAGCGGCGGACGGGUGAGUAACACGUGGAUAACCUACCUAUAAGACUGGGAUAACUUCGGGAAACCGGAGCUAAUACCGGAUAAUACUUUGAACCGCAUGGUUCAAAAGUGAAAGACGGUCUUGCUGUCACUUAUAGAUGGAUCCGCGCUGCAUUAGCUAGUUGGUAAGGUAACGGCUUACCAAGGCAACGAUGCAUAGCCGACCUGAGAGGGUGAUCGGCCACACUGGAACUGAGACACGGUCCAGACUCCUACGGGAGGCAGCAGUAGGGAAUCUUCCGCAAUGGGCGAAAGCCUGACGGAGCAACGCCGCGUGAGUGAUGAAGGUCUUCGGAUCGUAAAACUCUGUUAUUAGGGAAGAACAUAUGUGUAAGUAACUGUGCACAUCUUGACGGUACCUAAUCAGAAAGCCACGGCUAACUACGUGCCAGCAGCCGCGGUAAUACGUAGGUGGCAAGCGUUAUCCGGAAUUAUUGGGCGUAAAGCGCGCGUAGGCGGUUUUUUAAGUCUGAUGUGAAAGCCCACGGCUCAACCGUGGAGGGUCAUUGGAAACUGGAAAACUUGAGUGCAGAAGAAGAAAGUGGAAUUCCGUGUGUAGCGGUGAAAUGCGCAGAGAUAUGGAGGAACACCAGUGGCGAAGGCAACUUUCUGGUCUGUAACUGACGCUGAUGUGCGAAAGCGUGGGGAUCAAACAGGAUUAAAUACCCUGGUAGUCCACGCCGUAAACGAUGAGUGCUAAGUGUUAGGGGGUUUCCGCCCCUUAGUGCUGCAGCUAACGCAUUAAGCACUCCGCCUGGGGAGUACGACCGCAAGGUUGAAACUCAAAGGAAUUGACGGGGACCCGCACAAGCGGUGGAGCAUGUGGUUUAAUUCGAAGCAACGCGAAGAACCUUACCAAAUCUUGACAUCCUUUGACAACUCUAGAGAUAGAGCCUUCCCCUUCGGGGGACAAAGUGACAGGUGGUGCAUGGUUGUCGUCAGCUCGUGUCGUGAGAUGUUGGGUUAAGUCCCGCAACGAGCGCAACCCUUAAGCUUAGUUGCCAUCAUUAAGUUGGGCACUCUAAGUUGACUGCCGGUGACAAACCGGAGGAAGGUGGGGAUGACGUCAAAUCAUCAUGCCCCUUAUGAUUUGGGCUACACACGUGCUACAAUGGACAAUACAAAGGGCAGCGAAACCGCGAGGUCAAGCAAAUCCCAUAAAGUUGUUCUCAGUUCGGAUUGUAGUCUGCAACUCGACUACAUGAAGCUGGAAUCGCUAGUAAUCGUAGAUCAGCAUGCUACGGUGAAUACGUUCCCGGGUCU